ACAAAGGGCAGCCGUAACCAUGUUGGUUCUGGCGCAAGAGAGAAGCUUGCUUCUCUUGAGAGCGGCGGACGGGUGAGUAAUGCCUAGGAAUCUGCCUGGUAGUGGGGGAUAACGUCCGGAAACGGACGCUAAUACCGCAUACGUCCUACGGGAGAAAGCAGGGGACCUUCGGGCCUUGCGCUAUCAGAUGAGCCUAGGUCGGAUUAGCUAGUUGGUGGGGUAAUGGCUCACCAAGGCGACGAUCCGUAACUGGUCUGAGAGGAUGAUCAGUCACACUGGAACUGAGACACGGUCCAGACUCCUACGGGAGGCAGCAGUGGGGAAUAUUGGACAAUGGGCGAAAGCCUGAUCCAGCCAUGCCGCGUGUGUGAAGAAGGUCUUCGGAUUGUAAAGCACUUUAAGUUGGGAGGAAGGGCCAUUACCUAAUACGUGAUGGUUUUGACGUUACCGACAGAAUAAGCACCGGCUAACUCUGUGCCAGCAGCCGCGGUAAUACAGAGGGUGCAAGCGUUAAUCGGAAUUACUGGGCGUAAAGCGCGCGUAGGUGGUUUGUUAAGUUGGAUGUGAAAUCCCCGGGCUCAACCUGGGAACUGCAUUCAAAACUGACUGACUAGAGUAUGGUAGAGGGUGGUGGAAUUUCCUGUGUAGCGGUGAAAUGCGUAGAUAUAGGAAGGAACACCAGUGGCGAAGGCGACCACCUGGACUGAUACUGACACUGAGGUGCGAAAGCGUGGGGAGCAAACAGGAUUAGAUACCCUGGUAGUCCACGCCGUAAACGAUGUCAACUAGCCGUUGGGAGCCUUGAGCUCUUAGUGGCGCAGCUAACGCAUUAAGUUGACCGCCUGGGGAGUACGGCCGCAAGGUUAAAACCCAAAUGAAUUGACGGGGGCCCGCACAAGCGGUGGGAGCAUGUGGUUUAAUUCGAAGCAACGCGAAGAACCUUACCAGGCCUUGACAUCCAAUGAACUUUCCAGAAAUGAAUUGGUGCCUUCGGGAACUUUGAAACGGGGCUGCAUGCUGUCGUCAGCUCGGGUCCGCAAAAGUCGGGUUAAGUCCCUUAACGAAGCCAACCCUUUCCUUAUUCC
rnacentral:rRNA from 1 species